ensembl:miRNA
UGUAAACAUCCUACACUCUCAGCUGUGGAAACUAAGAAAGCUGGGAGAAGGCUGUUUACUCUCUCUGCCUUG